rnacentral:lncRNA from 1 species
AGAAAUGGCAAAAAGACAAAAGACAGGAAAAAAAAAAAAUCCCCAAUAUUUGGAAAUUAAGCAACAAAAUUCUGAAUAAUCAAAGAGAAAUCACAAGAGAAUUUAGAAAAUACUGUGGAUUAAUGACAAUGAAAACAAAAUUUAACAAUAUUUGUGGAUGCAGCUAGAGUAAUGCCUGGAUGAAAAUCUAUAGCUUUAAUAUAUUUUAUAUUAUUUGUAAGCAUUUAUUAGAAAAGAAAGUGUUAAAAAUCAGAAUAAAUUUCCAUUUGAAGAAGCAAACAAAAGAAGAGCAAAUUAGGGCUUUCCCAUUGUGGCUCAGUGGAAAUGAAUCUGAGUAGCAUUCAUGAGGAUGCUGGUUCGAUCCCUAGCCUCACUUAGCGGGUUAAGGAUCUGGCAUUGCUGUGAGCUGUGGUGUAGGUCACAGAAGUGGCUCAGAUCCCAUGUUGCUGUGGCAUAGACUGGCAGCCGCAGUUCCCAUUCUACCCCUAGCCUGGGAACCUCCAUAUGCCACAUAUGCAGCCCCAAAAAGACGAAAAAAAAUAUACAAAUUAAAUCCUAAGAAAGUAAACAAAUAAUGUGAAGGCAACAAAGUAGAAAGCAAACCAUAGACAAAAUGAAUAAAACUAAAAGUUGGGGUGUUCCCAUUGUGGCUCAGCAAGUUAUGAACCUGAUUAGUAUCCAUGGGGAUGUGGGUUCGAUCCUUGGCCUCAGUCAGUGGGUUAAGGAUCUGGCAUUGCCCUGAGCUGUGGUGUAGGUCACAGAUAGGGCUUGGAUCCUCAGCUGCUGUGGCUGUGGUGUGGGUCUGAUUUGACCCCUAGCCUGGGAACUUCCAUAUGCCAUGAGUUCGGCCCUAAAAAACAAAAAACCCUUGAAAGUUGGUUUUUUGAAAAGAUGAAUAAAAUUGAUUAAACUUUAACAAGAUGAUCAAGAAUAAAAAGAGAACUUAAACUGUCAAUAUGAGAAAAAAAUGGGACAUCAUUACCGAUCCUACAAGCAUUAAAAAGGCAAGUGGGAUUUCAUCAAACUAAAAAGCUUCUUAGAGCAAAGGAGACAAAGGAGUGAAGAGACAAACUACAGAAUGGGGAAGAUAUUUGCAAACCAUACAUCUAAUGAGAGUUUAAUAUCCAAAACACAUAAGGAACCCAAUUAAAAAACGGGCAAAGGACCUGAAUGGACAUUUCUCCAAAGAAGACAUACACAUGGCCAACAAGUAUAUGAAAAUCUGCUCUACAUUACCAGUCAUCAGGGCAAUGCAAAUCAAGACGGUGUCUGUUAGAAUGGCUGUUAUCAAAAGGACAAAAUAUAACAAGUGUGCUGGUGAGAAUGUAGAGAAACAGGAACACUUGUACACUUUUGGGAGGAAUGUAAAUUGGUUUAGCCACUAUGGAAAAUAUGGAGGUUCCUCAAAAAAUUAAAAUGGGCUACCAUAUGAUCCAGCAAUUCUACUUCUGAGUACCUGUAUAUAUCAAAGAAAUGAAACCACAUUUCAAGGAGGUAACCUGUAUUCCCACAUUCCUUGUAGCACUAUUUACAGUAGACAAGGUAUAGAAACAAUUUAUGUGUCUGUCAAUGGAUGAAUGGAGAAAGUGUGAUACACACACACACACACACAAAUAUUAAGAAUAUACUGCAUGGUCUCAUGUACAUGUGGAAUCUGAAAAAAGUUGAGCUCAUUAAAGCAGAGCGUGGAAUGGUGGUUACCAGGGGUCAAAUGAUACAAACUUUCAGUUGUAAAACAGAUAAAUGCUGAAGAGCUAAUGUACCACAUGGAGACUAUAGUUAAUAAUGCUGUAUUGUACACUUGAAAUUUGCUGAAAGAGAUCUUAGGUGUUGUCAUCAUUCAUAAAAAGUAACUAUAUGAGGUAGCUAAUUAGCUUGAUUGUGGUAAUCAUGUAAUCAUUUCACAAUGUACAUGCUUAUCAAAACCAUGUUGUAUACCUUAAAAUGUGUAAUUGUUAUUUGUCUAUUAUACCUUAAUAACACUGGGAAAAAUUAAAACUUACCCUAUCAGAUAUAAGCUUAUUAGAACCCUAAUAAUUAAGAUGCCAUAAUAAUGGUUAAGAGACAGAAAAAUUGACUAAUGAAAGAAAGUAGUGAGCCCCCAAACAGACUGCACACAUAUGUAGAAGUUUUAUCUAUGUUUCAUUGUAUCACAUUUUAAGACACUGUGACUACAGUCAAUAGGAAAGUGAGAGCUUAUAUGACAAAUUAUUCUGGGACGAUGGUUAUCCACAGGUGGGGAAAAAAAAGUCCCUCAUAUUACACACAAAAAAUUCCAGGUGGAUUAAUGAUACAAUAUGAAAUAUAAUACUAAAUUAUUUAGAAUAUAUCUAACUGCAUAGAGUAGGGAGGGACAACUCAAAUAAAAUACAAAAAAGCAUAAACCAUAAAGGAAAAGAUAGAUAAUUUUGGCAACAUUAAAAUUACUUCAGCUCAUCAGAAGACAUGAUAAUAAAAAUGAAAAGUUGGGGCUUAGUGUGGUGGAAGUUAUUUGCAACUCAAAUAACCAGGGAUUAGUGUAUAGAAUAUAUUAAAAACAUUUUUAAAUUAAUAAGAAGGCAAACAAGUUAAAAAUGGCAAAAGGACAUAAACAGGAAAUUCACACAAAGAAGAGGUAAGAAAAGAUGCUUAGCUCCCUGAGUAAUCAGGGAAAUAAAUAAAACAAUAUUGGGAUAUUGUUCUCUCGUCUAUCAGGUUGGCAUGAGUUUUAAAGCCUGAUGAGGAGCUCCUGUUGUGGUUUGGUGAAAACAAUUUGACUAGUAUCCAUGAGGACUCAGGUUUGAUCCCUGGCCUUACUCAGUGGGUUAAGGAUCUGGUGUUGUCAUGAGCUGUGGUGUAGAUCGCAGAUGUGUCUCAGAUCCCACAUUGCUGUGGCCCUGGCGAAGGCUGGGGGCCACAGCUCCGUUUAGACCCCUAGCCUGGGAACCUCCAUAUACUUCGGGAGUAGCCCGAGAAAAGGCAAACAAACAAAAUAAAUAAAGCCUCAUGUAUAUUGGUGCAUGUGUACUCAGCUAAUGGAAAUGAAAUCUGAUACAACCAUUUCAGAAAAGAAUUUGGCAUUAUAUUAGGGUUGAAAAUGUAAUUCCCUUCUAGGUAUAAACACAAGAGGUAUAAACACAGGGGGAUUUCUUAUACAUGUGUACAAAGGGACAUGUGUAAGAAUGUUAAUUUGGGUACUGUUGGUAAAGCCACAGACUUCGAGACACAAAGUGCAAUCCAUGAAUUGGUGAACAAAUUUUAAAAUAUUCCUUUGAUGCGUAUGUAAAGCAGAGAAAAUGAACAAGAAAAAGCAGAGAAAAUGAACAAGCCAGAGGUAUUUGUUUUGGUGUGAAUAAAUCUCUGGUUGGAGUGAUCAUGUUUUAUAAUUUUCAAUGGGAAUAUAAUGAGCAAAAUGAAAAAGCCUGUGGAGAAAGAAAGAAAGUUCUGGGAUUUCCAAGGGGAAAGCAUUUUGUGGAUGAAGUAUUUUUUUCUUCCAUUGAAGUAUGAUCAUUUGACUUUGCCUCUUUCUAUCCAUAGUAACACAAAUUAUCUUAAAUUCCAUUGGAAUGUUAACUUCUCUGAAGUAACUGGUUGUUACCACGAGAGGUCAAAAUUGGUGGGAGUUCCUGUUGUGGUGCAGUGGAAACAAAUCCGACUAGUGCCAUGAGGAUGCGCAUUCGAUCCUUGGCCUCGCUCAGUGAGUUAAGUAUCUGGCUUUGCCGUGAGCUGUGGUAUAGGAUCCUGCAUUGCUGUGGCUGGAGUGUAGGCCAGUAGCGAUAGCUCUGAUUCAACCCCUAGCCUGAGAAUUUCCAUAUGCCAUGGGUAAGACCCU